CCUGCACGGCUAGACCGCAGGUCGGGAUGUGAUCCGCGAGCGUGCAUGCGAUACGAGGCGCUCGAGAGAGGUGACAGCGGUUGUCGCCGAGGCGAUUGAACCAGGAA
rnacentral:ncRNA from 1 species